GAGAAAGUCGUCUAAGGGUAAGACAUUUGCCUUUUAAGCAAAACAUAAUGGUUCGAAUCCAUUCUUUCUCA